rnacentral:rRNA from 1 species
UUGAACGCUGGCGGCAUGCUUUACACCUGCAAGUCGCACGGCAGCGCGGGCUUCGGCCUGGCGGCGAGUGGCGAACGGGUGAGUAAUGCAUCGGAACGUGCCCAGUAGUGGGGGAUAGCCCGGCGAAAGCCGGAUUAAUACCGCAUACGACCUGAGGGUGAAAGCGGGGGACCGAAAGGCCUCGCGCUAUUGGAGCGGCCGAUGUCGGAUUAGCUAGUUGGUGGGGUAAAGGCUUACCAAGGCGACGAUCCGUAGCUGGUCUGAGAGGACGACCAGCCACACUGGGACUGAGACACGGCCCAGACUCCUACGGGAGGCAGCAGUGGGGAAUUUUGGACAAUGGGGGCAACCCUGAUCCAGCCAUGCCGCGUGCGGGAAGAAGGCCUUCGGGUUGUAAACCGCUUUUGUUCGGGAAGAAAUCCUCUGGGCUAAUACCCCGGGGGGAUGACGGUACCGGAAGAAUAAGCACCGGCUAACUACGU